rnacentral:piRNA from 1 species
UGACAAGAUGCAGGUACUACGGCACUCC